GAAAGAAACAGGAGAAUGUGGCAGCAGACUGCAUUGAUUCAGGGGAGGACCUCAAAGAUUUUGUUAUUGAACAUAUACCACCAAAAGGUCUUGGUGUUAGAACAACAAUAAAUAGAACAAAAGGAGAUUUCUUAAUGAUUUAUCCCGGCGAACUGAUAACAGAAAGAGAAGGGGAAGAACGUGAAGAACGUGAACCAUCCGUGUUUAGAUACUUCUUCCAAUAUAAAAGGAAAGGGUGGUGUAUGGAUGCUACUAGUG